rnacentral:misc_RNA from 1 species
GUUCUUGAGUAGAUUCUAAUGCAUUUUGUUUAGGUGGUGUAGUUGGCAGAAGGUGAAAGAAGUUGAAAAAGCCAUUUAAUGUUGUAAACAAACAGUAACGAAUAAAUUCGGAAGUGGUUGGCACUGAUCACAUAUGAAUGUAAAGUAACAAUUGGCACUUCCGUAGGGUUAAGUAGGAAAGUUGAUCGCAAUUUCCUGUAAUUGCCUUGUAUUAGUGGUAGAAAAAACAUAUUGGUGUAAUGGUUAAUGGGGUGUAGUGUAGUUCAUCUUUCUAACCACCAGGAUUGAUUGAUAGAUAGAUCAUUUGUACAGUUUAGUUGGGGAUGGUGUUGUAUGUUGCAUAUUCUUGUUUGAUUUUGACACCC